GAGGCUGCAAAGGAGCAGCAGAAGCUGGCCUGGGGAGGCCAGACAUUGGCAGUGGGCUCCCUGCUGAGGUGCAGGCUUAGGAGGUGCCCAAAGAUGGCGACAAAGAAACACAGGGAGGUAGCUUAUACUGAGUCAGACCCCCCCUGGUCCACUGAGCUCAGUGACAUCCACACUGACAGCAGCUCUCUGUGGCUUCAGACUGAGCAAGGAAAAUUUUCUUUGCACCUGAGCAAAGAAGAUUAGGUUAUGAGGAGAGGCUCUGAGAGUAAUAAACAGAGGGAAAGGAGGAAGCCAGGAGAGCUGACCUAAGGAAAAGUGGAAGAAAGGCCAUGUACACACAUGCCGUAAAUUUAAAGCACGUUGCAGAAUAGUCAGAAAGAUGAGCUACAUAUUGCCAGAGACUGAAGAACUGACAAAUACCACACAAUUUGAAACAACUAGCCAAAUAUUUGGCUGCGGUCUUCCAAUACCUGGUUUGUUGUGUUCUGCAAAUCCAGCAGACAAAUGGAGAUUAAAAGACAAUCACAGAUGGUUUAUCAAAGCUAAGCAAACUGUCAUGGCUUCCUAAGGAAAUAGGGAUAGAGUUCUCUCUAGGGAUAAAACAAAGCUUCCAUAUUGAAGAGACAGUAAAAGCACAUGAAGCUACAGAUUGCAAUUUUUACUGGACAUCACAAAGUUUAAAACUAAGCAACUCUGUGCUUGAAGUAAGCCCCUGAGAGUGAGUGGUUUCCCGCAAAUUAAUUCCCUGCUAUUUUGGGCUUCCUAGAUGAACUUCAAGCAACUGGUACAUUAAGGCAAUACAUUUUUCCAGUUUUGUUUACUCCCCAGGGAGCCUACUUUUCCUUUUGCUGUCCUGCCUUCUGUCUGCCCAGAAGACAAACAGUUUUGAUCGCAGGAAGCAAUAUUCAUGGCUUCAUGAGGCAUGCAACCUAGGAGAAAAUAAACUGCAGCAGCAUCUCCACUGACUGCUCCAUCCAUUCACCCUGGA